rnacentral:tRNA from 1 species
UAGGCUGUAGUUUAACUUUAUAAUUAGGGCUUUGGGUGUUCUAGGUACCCUGUCGGGUCAGCCUAA